AUAAUUUAAAAAAAAAAAAAAAAAGAAUCUUGAAUAGGAAUUUGUAAAUUUAAGAUUGGCAUUAAAAAUCUAAAUAGGCCUCCUGGUUACAAAAUUCAUAAACUUAUAUGUCUUUUGAGGUCAUUGUUAAUGUCUGCUUUUAAGUAGGCUGGUUAUUAUAUUUUAUCAAUUUAGUACAUAUAUAAAAAUAAUUUGCUUCAAUAGUUGACCUUUUAAUUAUAGUUUCAAAAUAUUUUAAUCAGCACACUAUAUCAUUUUGGAUGUAAUACUAUCAGUCUUGCUACACAAGUAUUGAAUAAUAAGACUGACUAAUGAUAGCAGGAGGUCUUUACAAUUUUCUUGUUCAAAACAAAAUAAUUUACAUUGUUGUUAGAUUUC